CAUAGCCUCUGCUGAUGGGACCGUCCUAAACUGUGCCAUGGGUUUUCUUCCUGCCAUUCACACAUCUUACAUCAAGUAAGCACUUCCCAAGCUUCUACUGCGGGAUGAUUCAGCUCUCGAGGAGGUUUGGAAAUAUUCUGGGGAAGACAGCGAUCUGUAGAAGGUCCAAAUGAAAUGUGAGCUGUGCAAUCAGGGGCGCGGAAGUGCAGAGCGGCCCCAGGCGCCCGUCCCACCUGGGAGAGCUGGGUGGGCCUCGCAGACGACGUGCGUUGCCGCUGAGCCUUCACAGGCCUUAUGGAUUUAACCUAAAAUGGAAAUUACCCAUAAAAAUGGUGGCUUACUGCCUUUAAUAACGAGCUAUAACUGUAUUUUACCGAACUAGCAGUACCAUUGAGUAAAGAGGUGCUACCCCAUGCUAGGUAAUAUAAUUUCUAGAUUAGUCUACGGGGCUCGUUUUGUAAUCAAUCUCUAAACUUGCAGAAACUGGUCACGCCUAAACUGAACGUAUAGUUAUCUCCAACUGGAUAAACCUGGGACUUUCAACUGUGUUCUAAAUAGCUCUUUUGGGUAUUCACACAGAAAUCACCUGUCCUUGAUUUAGUCGGCCAAGUAGUUGAGACCAUUUCCGGCAUCCUCUAUGGGACUCUGCUGCAGAAGUGUGCUUUAUACAUGGUGUUUUUAUCGUGAGGGCCACCACAAAGACAAUACCACUCAUUCUCCAUGAAUGGAGGGACGCCCUCCUGCUCACCACUGAUCCCUCACCAUCUAGAAGUGUGCAUGGCACAGUGCGCGCUCAACAAGUAAACAUGAGCUAACAAGACCAACCAGGUGCCCGCUGUCCUACAGGAGCUGGAUCAUCCACAGGUAAAUAAAUUCCAGUAAGGAGAAAUGCUUUGAAGAAAAUAAAAUGGCAUAAAGAGGUAGACCAUCAGCACCAGGAGGCAGAGAGGGUAGGAUGCUUCGGACAGCGUGUGGACCUGGGGUUCCUGAGAGCUGCGCCUGGCUGAGGGCUGACUGACCAGAGGAGCCAGUCCUGCAGGGAUGUUGAGCAGAGGGUGAAGCACAGCCAACAUGGCGCCCAGGGGAGAAGGAAGGCCUGAGCAGAGAGCACAGGAGUCAGACAAGGCUGGGUCAUCCAGGGCUUUGCAACCACUCGCACACUUCACUGGGCCCGUGAUGUGCCAUCACCUCCUGAUCAUCCACGGCAGGCCUCCCAAGAGGGUGCCAGCAAACACAACACCGAGUCUUCCAGGGAAAGAAAAGAAUUCGCUGCCAAGGUCUGAAAACUGAUUGGAAACCCUGUUUAUCCUUAUUUCCCGGUCUGGUCAGCGGAUUCCAGAAUCUUAUCUUCCCCGUUACGGAGAAAGCAUGGCUUUGAAACCGUCUCCUUGGAGAGCUCACUUGCACAUGAAGCGCAGCCCUCACUCCAAGCCGGCUGGGAAGCACUAGGACACAGAAGUGACAUUGCAUCAAAGUGGCACAGGAGAGUGGGGGUGGCUGGAAAAUCAUGGAAUCAAAGGAAAAUGAUCCAAUAUUUCAAAGAAAAUCAUGUCCCGUACAUUUCUGCUCCAUUACAAUAGGGGAAGUUGAAGCUGGUCUUACGCGGCUGCUGUCUUAGAUGUGGAGCUCUCGGAGUGCUUGAAAUGUCUUCUAUUUUAUUACAUAUACAAAGGAGCUCUUUAACACGGCUACUGUCUGCGACACGUAAGUCAUAUCUCAGUUUUCUUUGUCGACUAAAACCAUUCUGGACUGGAAAGUCCCGCUACUGAAGACUGCCUCUCGCCGGUGUUCCACAGGUGAACGGCGAAAUACGGCAGCCUCUUUAACGAGGAAACUGUCCAUUGACCAAUCUACCAAAAUUGUCCGCCUGUCUUAUGUUAGUACCACAUUUUUAUGAUUUUUAACACCUGCAAAAUACGCUUUCGUCAAAACUUAAAGCUGCAAAGUAAAUAAAUAAAUAAAUAAAAUUCGAUUGAUGAAUGGUUUUAGAAAGUAAAGUAAAGUUUCUGGGCUGUAAUUACUUUUUAACAAUUUAUCAGUGAACACACCAUCAUGAAGUCUCAUUAUCUGCUUCACAAAAACAAACCUAAAAUGCAAAGUUAAUGAACCAAAACAUCUUGCAAAUCUAAGACCAAGUUGACAAGACCAUGGCAAAUGCAUCCUUAUAAUGACUAGUCUUAUGCCCAAACUCCGAAGAUGAUAGCCUCUGUGGUUCUUGCAUGAAUGAGCACAUGAAGUAACGUGCACCACCUCACGGCCGGCUGUAAAAUCAUGCUGUGCCAUCUCCAUCUUUUCAUAUUCAUUCAGCAAACGCUUAUUGAGAAGCUCCUGCGUGCCAGCAAUAAAGCUGUCUCUGUGCUCGUGAAAUCAACAAUCAGAUGGGACACAAACAGGCAUAAGCGAUGGGAGGUCCUGCUUUAAAUUCUGUUUAUUGGGGAAAGAAUGGGGUAUCAUGGGGUGUAUAAAACAACACCUUGAUUGGGACAUUGGGGAGAUUUACCACAGAAGUGACAGUUGAACUGAUACCUGAAAAUAAAUAUGAAUUAUCCAAACAAAAGGUAAAAGUUGUUUUCACUGCUCUGGGUAGAGGAGACGGCAUGUGCACAAUCUGGGAGGCAGGAGAAAAGAGCAAGUUCAGGGACUGAAAAGACUUCCGUGUGGCUGGAGUGUAGGGCGUGAGUAUGUGGCAGCAAGAGAUGACAUCAGAGAAACAAGUGGGAGGAGAAAGGACUGAGAGGUCCUGACCAGACCGCUGGCAGUGAGGACGGAGGAAAGUGGACGGUGUGUGAGGAAUGAGGCUGUGGAAGAGAGAGAAAUGGAUGCUUGGUUAGAGGCAGGGUGAAGAGGAAGAAUGGCGAAUGGCGAAGGGCUCACAGAUUUCUUGAUAGACCAAGAUAGGAAACACGGGGAGGGAGGGCUGGCAGGCAGGCAAGGAGUCCCGUUUGGAUUUGUUGAGUUAAGAUAUCUGGAGAUAUCUAGGAGAAGAUACACAAUUCUCAGCUGGAGCUCAGAGACAUAAGCCAGUGAGUUCAGUCAUCACCAAAUGGUGUAUGAUGUGGGGGACACAAGAUUGCUCCAUUUGCUAGCAUGAGAACCCCAUCUUUUAAAGGCUGACAGAACAAGAAGGUUCAAAAGAUUCUGAGAUGGAGAGAGUGCAACAUGAGACAAGACAAAAGUGACGGAACCAGGAAGAAAGUCAACGUUAGCAGAUGGGAGAAGAAAGAUGAGUCAGCACAAGAAACUAGGAAGGAGUGGCCAGAGAGAUUAGCAGGAAACCAAGAGCGAGUGACGGUAACCAAAAUCCAGGAAACAGAGCACUUAACCAGAAGGGUGGUUCUGAGACUUGAGAACAAUCAGGAAGAAUCGGGACUGAGGAUUGUCAUCAGUUUCUUCGUCUGUAUAACGGGAUGAACGUCAGAACCAGCCCACGGGGCCGCCGCCAGGAGUAAUCCAGAUAAUACAAGCGAAAGUCUAGAACUGAGCUGGAGGGUGGAGCCCGGAGCAGGAUGGAAUGCUGCACGUCCUGCACAGAGUGAAGAGGGCCCAUGGCUUCCUUUUUGCUUUCUGUUGGAGUUCUGUCAAGGCCGUCUGAGAUGCGUUAGCUUCUGUUGUGGUGGAGGUCACGGCUCUCCACGCUGUGUGCAGGACUCAGCGAAAUGCUAGGUGAAUACAGAAAGCUGCACCCAGUGGAAGUAAGCACAAAGGAAUAUACACAACGCACACACCCACACGCCUCCACCACCCGCCGGCCACCUCCACUCACGAAGUGUAGGAGCCAUCCCAUACACAUCUGCUGACACGCUUUCCUUCCGACGCCAGAUGACACUGUUUCCACCUCUUCAGAAUGACUCACCAGCUACAGUCCUUCGGAGCACGCUGCCACAAGCAAACCUCAGGUCUUUUUCCAGAGCGCGCCACUGGGCUCUCCACGUCUGGCCAGCAAAAGGGGAAAAGCCAGUUUGAAGACCUCCUGGGGCUUCAGGGUCCGUGGCCAGAAGAGCUGCUCUAGAGUGCCCACCUUCCAUUGGCCAGAAGGGGUCCAAGGCGUCACACAGACGCAAACGAGCCCAGGAAGAAAAUGAAUUGGUUUGGUAAACAAUUUUUGUGAAAAGUGCUGGUGGCAACCCACGAAAUGAACUUCCUGCCUCGCUGUGCGUCACAGGUGCAGCCGACGUGCGGAGGCUCACAGUCCAGGCCGCGCUCCCGGACGAGGGAGCGUUGAGUGACUUACAUCAAAGACAGGUCGGUGAAACCAGAUGCCAGCGUUCUUCCUCCAGCAGACCCGUGAGCAGGCAGGACCCACCUCACCGCCAGCCUGCACACAGCGCUCAGCAGAGCGCCCGGGCCUGGCCCCUGCAGGCCAUCCGUGCACCAGUGAGCCCUGCCUCUCCAGGGCCAGGGACUGCUAGGCCACGGCAGAACCCCGUGGCAGCUCACAGGGAGUAACCGUAACAUGGCCCCUUCCUGCAGGCCUCGGCUCUGGGCACCCUGCAAUUCCAGGUCACUGCGCCAGAGAGGAUGAGCACCCAGGCUGAGCUCACUACCUCCCUCCCUCCCUAAUGCCGACAGACCCUGAGACCUCAUUCAGUCCAGCCGUUACCACAGGGUCCGGCACAGAGAAAACAUCCAAGAAAUACCGUCAUCCAAGAGUCGCAUACCUGCUGGGUGUUACACGCUGCAUUAGGAACAACGGCAGCUCCGAACGAACAGAAAGCAGCAACGGACGACCUCGGGGAAACUGACCGUCUGUGGAGUUAGACAGGAGAGGCUCCCAAGCCACCUUUGAUUCCUUCCUGGACCACAGCCGUGGCCUCCCCUCCUGCCUGGGCUCCCGGCCUCCAGCUUUGCCCCCACACUCACUAUCUUCUCAGUGCAGCAGCCUUCGAUGUUCUCGCUCUCACUCAGUCAAUGCCAAAAUCCCUACCCAGCCACAAGGCCCUGCCGGGUCUCCCCUCAGAUGGGAGCACUACAGGCCCCUGCUCUCCCCACUCAACCCCGAGGCCUCCUUGCUGGUUCCAAACUCACUUCAGCCUGGAGGUCUUCGCACUUGCUUUUCCCUCUGGAAACCCCGUGGCUGGCUUCCUCUCUGUCCCUCAGAUCAUUACUCAGAUGUCAUUUCUCAGCGAAGCUGUCCCUGCCCGCUUCCUCUACUCUUCUCUGUAAAGCUCAUCGCCCUGUGCUUCCUUAUUUGGGUUGUCUUAUGUCUGCCUCAUGCACCACAAUGUAACCUCCAUGACAGCAAAGAAUUUUGUCCUUGUGUUCACUGACGUACGCAAUCACCUAGAACAAUGCAAAACACCCAGGAAGUACUUAUAGAAUGAAUGAAUGAAUGACUCGAGACAGGCAUUGAACAAUAAUGCAAGUGUUAUGAAUUGAACUGUGUCCCCCAAAAGAUGUUGAAGUCCUAACCCCUGUACCCGUGACUGUGACCUGUUGGGCAAUAGGGUCUUUGCAGAGAAUCGAGUUAAGGUGAGGUCAUUAGGGUGGGCCCUCAGCUAGUUUGACUGGUGUCCAUAUAACAGGAGGAUCUUGGACCCAGAAGCAGACACAUACAGAGGGAAGACGAUGGGAAGACGUGGGAGAAAGCCUGAGGAGGUAGACGAGAGGCCUGGAACAGAUUCUCCUUCACAACCUGCAGAGGGAACCAACCCUGCUGACUCCUGGCUUUCGGGCUUCGGCCUCCAGAUCUGCGAGAUAAUAAAUUUCUGUUGUUUCAAGC
ensembl:lncRNA